rnacentral:lncRNA from 1 species
GGAGAAUACCUGGAGGAAUGGCAUUCUGGAUUUUUGUUCUUCCUAAUGUAGGGCCUGAGUUUUUAUUUUCUUAAUGGCCUACUCUUUUUUUCCUUCCUGUUUAACCCUCUUCUGCUCCAACUCCCCAACCCUACAACUUUCCCUUUCUUUUAACUUUUCUUUCUUCAGCUGAGAGAUUGGGUGUGAGUUGAGACUUUACGGUCUAGAAUUUCAAAAUCGAUUCAUGGGGUAACUAUCCCCAAACCAGCACACUUUUAAUUAGGGUAGGAGUAAUGAAAUGGGAGACUCCCUGGACCCCUCUGUGGGACUUGCAACAGGGGUGUGGCUCGUUUGCUUGGCCACCACAUGCUCAAAUCCCUUACAGGAGGGGAGCAUGCAGGUGAGCAGGAGACGGAGCCAGGGUGAGCGCCUUUGGGCUCUGGCCCCAUGGCAAUGUCUACGAGUAUUACAAUGCUCUUUUAGCCCUGCUGUCCGGGGAUGGCUUAAGUGUUAAACAGCUCAGCGAAGAGUCAGGGUGACAGCCUUUUUGGGUCUCUGCACCCAGUGCAUCCCAAAUUUUGCCUUGCAUCCAGGAAGAAUGAGGUUACAUGUACUUGAAGGAUGGUGAAUGCGGGGAUCUUAUUGGGUGAUGGAGGUGGCUCUCAGUGGGAUGGGAAGCUGGAGAGGGGAUAGAGUGGGAAGAUGAUCUUCUCCUGGAGUUCAGUCAUCCUGAAGCUGAUCUCCUCUCCCAAUGCCCCCAGCCGAACUCCUCUCAGAUGCUUCCUCUCUUCUCUCAUUCUCUGCCAUGCUGCUCUGCUGCUCUGCCAUACUUCUGCUCAGGGAGCCUGGGGAUUGGGAUUUUUAUAGGUAUAGGAUGGGGGUGUGGUGGGCCACGGUGGUCUUGGAAGAGGCAACAUUUGGGGGCAAAAACAGGAAUGCCUAUUCCCAUUUAAAGCCUCGGGUUUCCAGGCUUGAGGGUGGGGCCUUUGCUGGGGAACCGCCCUCUACUACCUAGUAUUUCCUUGCCUCCUGUCCGUAUCCGUAGUACGAGUAAAGUGAGACCUUCCUGGGCAAACCCUGACAUCUGGUCCCUGGGGUUAACUCUGGCUCCACUGAGCAGCACCAAAGAGCAUGGAGAUGCUCAGCAUGUGGCGGCUGCAG